CCGUAGGUAUUUCCUUUGUCCUCGUGAAAACGUCUUUUUACCGUCGUUUAUAUCGCCUUCUUAGUGUUAUCCACCGCUAGGAUUAAAAUUUUCAGCGUGACUGCUAUAGUGAUUUAGAGAUUCCACGUCUCCCUCCCUUCAUCACUUCUUACCGUCUAAAACGGGGCUUUCGAAGAGGUCUGUCCUCUUCAGGGUGCAGGUCUUCCAUUAGGUACCCACAUGCUUAAAAAUUGGUAUCUGGUCAUUUUAGUGAAUGGCGAUUCGGCGAAUCGUUUUCGGUGAACGGAUAUAUCGGCGAAAACGUUUAUUUAUUUAGAGCAAAAAAAAAAAAAAAAAAUAAUAAUAAAAAAGAGCUGAUACUGGAGCCGGGAGUGUUACUGUUGUAGAUGGGAAGUUGGAAAGGUAGGAUACACAAAGUUGUUUUACAUAUAACUGUAAUUAACGAUAAACAAUUCGGAGCGAAAUUCGGUUAUACAUGUUUUGAAAGGCUGUAAUAUUCACGAUUUUCAUCAAAUUUUAUUUUGGCCACCUAAGUUCCCGGUUGAAAUGAAAAUCUACUUACGCCAAUACAACAACGAAUGUUCCAUCAUCCGAUCAAUCAACACAUAUUAUCACAGCAUUUUUUGAUGAAUUUAAUUUUCAAGCAUUUUUUUGUAGUCUAACAAUUUUUUCCACAGAUUUUAUCCAACAAUUUCAUACAUUUUAUCCAUUUAACUUACCUACCACAAAAAAAAUUACGUAGGAAACUAGCGAAAUUAAAAUUAAAUAGCUCUAAAAAUAACUCCUUCCUGUGUAAACGGCACGAAAAAGCGCCUACAGUUACUAAGACGGUUUGCACGACGUCCAGUGAUUCAGUUGGCUAGUCAGAUUUGCCAACUAUCCGACGAGGAGAUUCUGAAGUCACUAGGCAACGUAGUUCUGCGUUGAUCACCUCCUUCUCUUGCUUCUAUAAUCGGACGGUUACGUCUUCGAUUGUGUAGCUGAAAGAGUAGU